GAGAUGAAUUAACAUCAAAAUACAAACAACGCCAGGCCUAUCCACAACACUGUGUGGAGUGACAAGGUGGCCCACAAUGUGGGGCUCAGCAGGACCAGUUCUGAGGACCAUUCUCAAGAUGGGGAAGACGGUAGUGAGGCAACCUUGGCUUUUCACCAGUGGGAACCCUGCUAAGUGGUUUAACAAGUGCUAUGAUUUCAGAAUGGGUUUUCUUUUGAGUGCCUGGUAAAGCCUGGCCCCAGGAUGGUAGUCUGGACUGGACUGACAUGCUGGAAUGGACCCCUCAGGGGUGGCUGGACAAAGGUGAAGGCCUUUCCCAAGAAAGCGAGCUCUGCUGAGAACUGAGUUCACACCAGUGAGGGCAGCUGCCGGGAGAGGCUGCCAGUCCCCUGGUCCGUCUCCUCUGCAAGCUCUACUUACCCUGCCUCCUGCCAGAGGUCGGAGCAGCAUGGCUGCUUGCCAGAAGCUGGACCAGUUCUCAGAGUCCCAGCUGCCAAAACCGGAAGCCAAACGAGCCUCUAUGUCCACGGUCACUCAGUCUUGGGAUUUCUACUCCAGUCACAGGAAACACACCAAGAUGGUGGAACUGGCCUUGGACCUGAGACGAGUGGCUGAUGGCUGAUCCUCAUUGUCUGUUUGCCUACAUUUGGGAAUCACCUAGGAGACUGAAGCUUUUUGGAGAGGAUUAAGGGUGGGGGAAGACCCACCUGUGAACUGUGGUCCCGAGGAGAGCCAGACAAGCUCUGGAAUUUGUCUGCUUUCUCUGCUCCCUGAUCCGCUGAGAUAUGAACAAGCAGCCCUCUGUUCCUGAUGCCACAGCCGCACGUCUCGCACUUCCGUGCUUCCUUUAUGGAAUGGAUAACACCCUCGAAUCAUGAGCCAAAUU
rnacentral:lncRNA from 1 species